rnacentral:rRNA from 1 species
AUUGAACGCUGGCGGCAGGCCUCACACAUGCAAGUCGGGCGAGCGGCGGCCUGGUGAGUAAUGUAUGGGGAUCUGCCUUAUGGAGUGUUAUAACUACUAGAACCGGUAGCUAAUACCGCAUACCAUCAGCUGACCCCAUAUGGGAUUAGCUUGUAGGUGGGGUAACGGCUCCCCUAGGCGACGAUCCCUAGCUGGUCUGAGAGGAUGAUCAGCCACACUGGGACUGAGACACGGCCCAGACUCCUACGGGAGGCAGCAGUGGGGAAUAUUGCACAAUGGGCGAAAGCCUGAGCGAGGAAGGCCGAGUGGAUGAAGAAGGCCUUCGGGUGGUAAGGUACUUUCAGUAGGGAGGCGGUAUCUAAAGAGGAAGCACCGGCUAACUCCGUGCCAGCAGCCGCGGUAAUAC